rnacentral:rRNA from 1 species
CUACGGGGUGCUGCAGUGGGGAAUAUUGGACAAUGGGGGCAACCCUGAUCCAGCAAUACCGCGUGUGUGAAGAAGGCCUUCGGGUUGUAAAGCACUUUAGGCGGGGAAGAAGGUUAUUAGUUUAAGAGAUGAAUAACUUGACUGUACCCGCAGAAUAAGCACCGGCUAACUCUGUGCCAGCAGCCGCGGUAAUACAGAGGGUGCAAGCGUUAAUCGGAUUUACUGGGCGUAAAGGGCGCGUAGGUGGUUGCGUAAGUGAGAUGUGAAAUCCCCGGGCUUAACCUGGGACGUGCAUCUUAGACUGCGUAGCUGGAGUGUAGUAGAGGGUAGUGGAAUUUCCGGUGUAGCGGUGAAAUGCGUAGAUAUCGGAAGGAACACCAGUGGCGAAGGCGGCUACCUGGACUAACACUGACACUGAGGCGCGAGAGCGUGGGGAGCAAACAGGAUUAGAUACCCUCGUAGUC